rnacentral:misc_RNA from 1 species
UCUGGCUUAUAGCCAAGCGGUCUCACUAGAGUGCCCAACUAAAUGCUGGCAACUAGUGACGAGGGUUGCGCUCGUUGCGGGACUUAACCCAACAUCUCACAACACGAGCUGACGACAGCCAUGCAGCACCUGUCACCGCGUCUCCGAAGAGAACUCCCACUUUCAUGGGAUAGCGCGGGAUGUCAAGCCUAGGUAAGGUUCUUCGCGUAGCAUCGAAUUAAACCACAUGCUCCACCGCUUGUGCGGGCCCCCGUCAAUUCCUUUGAGUUUUAAUCUUGCGACCGUACUUCCCAGGCGGGAUACUUAAUGCGUUAGCUUCGUUACCGAUUCUAUUAGGAAAACCGACAACUAGUAUCCAUCGUUUAGGGCGUGGACUAC